GCUUUUAGUCUUCAGAGGAUCCCACAAUGGCCCUUGGCCAGGUGCUCUGCUGUUCUGAUGCCAGGUGACACGGCCUGCUCUAUAGAGCAAAUGAUCCCCUACUUGGAGCAAUGCUGUGCUACUGGAGCUGAUCAGUGCUUGGAGAAUGAGAUUCGUGCAAGGACCCAUGAUGCACUGCGAAUUCCACCUCCUCCCCUUUCCCUUCACAAGACCUAUCCUUAAAAUGGAGAGAGCUUUACCGUGGGAUAGUUGCCCUAAUGGAAUGGAAGUGCUGCAAAGUGCUGAUGCCUGUGGAAACUUCUAAAAAAUUUCAACUUGAGAUGUGGACUGCUUUGGAAAUCCUAAAGAAUAGUCUGCAGAUCCUGAGGGACUAUGGACCACAGAUUGAAAACUAC